rnacentral:tRNA from 1 species
AAUAAGAAGCAAAAUAUUGCAUUUAGUUUCGACCUAAAAAUUUGAUAAUUUUAUCCUUAUUUAAA